AUGGGUGAGCUGGCCGCUCUGCUUCGCCCUCCCACGGCUGCGCUCGCAUCCGGGCCGCGACCCGGCCUACCCAUUCACCUUCUUCCUCCUGCUCGCUGCCCUCUCGCCUCGUCUGCCUCCGUCCCUCCACUCCGCUGGAUGCAUCCGCCCCGUCGUCGCCAACUCCCUCCUCAAACUCUACUGCGCCCGUGGCCUCCCGCCCCACGCGCGCAAGGUGUUCGACCCGGGCGCCGCCUCAUCGAACGCAAUGUUGUCCAGGCAUGGGCGCAUGGCAAGAGCGGCGACCUGCGGCAGCGCGGGAAGUGUUUGCAAGAAUGCCGGAGCGGAACCUGGCGUUGUCUUGGAGCGCAAUGGUCGACGCGCCGCUUGUGCGUGCAGGGGAGUGAGUUCGACAAGGCGCUGCGCACAUUUGACCGGAUUAUGGGGGGAGGCUUUCAAGUCAGAUGUACCGGUGCUGGUGUGUCUUGGUGUGGUCGAGAGGGAUUGAUGGGUCCAUCGGUAUCUGCAAAUGGAGGGGUUGCAGGGAGGCAAAGGGAUGGCAUGGUUGAGGCCGCGCCGGUGGACAUGUACUGCAAGUGUGGGUGCGUGGAGGAGGCGUGGUGUGUGACUGCGUUCGCCGCCGUGAAUUGUGCUGUGGAAUUCAGUGACCAGAUAGCUUGCAAUGAAUGGCCAUGGUGA
rnacentral:rRNA from 1 species